rfam:Triticum aestivum genome assembly, contig: Triticum_aestivum_CS42_TGACv1_scaffold_321827_4BL
AAAAUACUCCCUCCGUCCUGAAAUACUUGUCGGAGAAAUGCAUAAAAAUGGAUGUAUCUAGAACUAAAAUAUGUCUAGAUACAUCCAUUUCUCCGACGAUUAUUUCCGGACGGAGGGAGUAGAAG